rnacentral:rRNA from 1 species
GAGUUUGAUCAUGAGCUCAGAUUGAACGCUGGCAGGAUGCUUUACACAUGCAAGUCGAACGGCAGCACGGACUUCGGUCUGGUGGCAGGUGGCGAACGGGUGAGUAAUGUAUCGGAACGUGCCUAGUAGCGGGGGAUAACUGCACUUGAAAGCGUAGCUAAUACCACAUACGCCCUUGAGGAAAGCGGGGGACCUUCGGGCCUCGCACUGUGAAGCGGCCGAUAUCGGAUUGGCUAGUUGGUGGGGUAACGGCUCACCAAGGCGACGAUCCGUAGCUGGUUUUGAGAGGACGACCAGCCACACUGGGACUGAGACACGGCCCAGACUCCUACGAGGAGAGCAGCAGUGAAAUUUUGGACAAUGGGGAAACCUGAUCCAGCCAUCCCGCGUGUGCGAUGAAGGCCUUCGGGUUGUAAAAGCACUUUUGGCGGGAAAGAAACGGCACGGGAUAAUACCCCGUCACAACUGACGUACCUGCAGAAUAAGCGCAGCUAACUACGUUCCAACAACCGCGGUGAUGUCACGUAAAGGUCACAAGCGUUAAUCGGAAUUACUGAGCGUAAAGAAAGCGUGCGCAGGCGGUUGGAAGAAGAUGUGAAAUCAGAGCUUAACUUUGGAACUGCAUUUUCGCUACCGAGCUAGGUGUGUCGGAAAGUGGGAAUUCCGCGUGUAGCAGUGAAAUGCGUAGAUAUGCGGAGGAACACCGAUAGCGAAAACAGCCUCUGGGAUAACACUGACGCUCAUGCACGAAAGCCCCAUUAAGAACAAACAGGAUUAGAUACCCUGUUAGUCCACGCCUAAACGAUGUCAACGCGCUAACUGUGGAGCCGCUUCAGGCCUUGGUGGCGCAACUAACGCGUGAGAUGACCCGCCUGGGAAGCCACCGGUCAUAAGAUUAAAACUCAAAAUUGACAGGGACCCGCUGAAGUGGAUGAUGAUGGAUUAUUCGAUGCAACACACAAAAACCAUACCUACCCUUGACAUGUCUGGAAUCCCGAAGAAGAUUUGCAGGAGUACUCGCAGAGAACCGGAGCCACGGGUGCAUGGCUGUCAUCGCUCGUGUCGAGAUGUUGGGAUUACGGUCCCGCAACAGGCGCGACCUUGUCCGUGGAAUUGCUACGAAAAGGGCACUCUAAUGAGACUGCCGGUGAUAAACCGGAGGAAGGUGGGGGAUGACGUCAAGUCCUCAUGGCCCAUAUGGGUAGGGCUUCCCCGCAUCCUUACAAUGAUCAGGACAGAAGAGGUCGCCAACCCGCGAGGGGGAGCCAAUCCCAGAAACCCACGAUCGUAGUCCAGAUCACCAGUCUGCAACUCGACUGCGCGUGAAGUCGGAAUCGCUAGUAAUCGCGGAUCAGCAUGUCGCGGUGAAUACGUUCCCGGGUCUUGUACACACCGCCCGUCACCAUGGGAGUGGGUUUUACCAGAGUAGUUAGCCUAACCGCUGGGAGGCGAUUACCACGACGGAUUCAUGACUGGUGAAGUCGUAACAAGGUA